AAAAUUUCUGUCAGAUUUUGUACAGGACGUCACAUACAAUAGUGUAUGAAGGUGUGUUUGAGGUUUAUUGAGUCGAUAAACAGAAAGGUAAUGUUCUGGACUGGAUCACAGUCAAUAGUGUGGAUGACCACCAUGUGCUCCAAUUAAUGCAACUAAUCUUCUGUGCAUGGAACCCACUAAAUGGCAAAUUUUCUGCUGAGGACUGGCCUGCCACACCUCUUUCAGGACACUUUA